UGUCGUGCCUGUUGUGGUGUCUGCUAGCAAGCUGUGUGACCUUGGGUAGUCACUUAACACCUCUGGGCCUCUGCUUCCUCAUCUGCAUAAUGGGGAGAGUGAACACACCUUUCUCCAAAGUGGUCUAAGAAUGCAACGAUGCCUAGAAAGUGCUGAACACAGUUUCUGGCGCACAGGACGUGUUUGAUAAGCAUUAGCUGUCCGGCAACGCCAGCAGCUCCAGGUACGCGGCUUCAUGAGCAGCCCUGGGCUGCCUUUACCAGCGCUGUCCGGCUUGCUCAGUGCACCGCCUGCACAACCACAGAGGGCAGCCCUGCAGCCCCCCCCGGGAGUCUCCUUACAUCUGAACCCUACAUUGAGAAUCUGGGUCACUCUUGCUUGGCCCUGGCUGCUUCCUAGAACUUUCCUCCUCAAAGUGAGGUCGGGGACCAGCAGCAUUGGCAUCCCAUGGGAGCUCGGUGGAAACACAACCUCAGGCCCCAUCCCAGACCUCCUGAAUCAGGAUCUGCAUUUCAACAAGAUCCUCAGUCCAGUGCCCAGCCCCCUCCUCAAGACCUGUCACCAGGGCCCCUCCACGUAGUACCAGCACACCGGGGACCUCGGAUAUCUGUUCCAGGCCUGAGACGGGGUUGCUGGUAGGAGCUGCAGCUUUGUGGAAGCCUGAAGGUGCCGGAACUCAAUAAAGGUCACUUCAACCAAACACCUCCCCCCGUCCACCUUCUCCAGACCCAAGGCUGCCCUCUCAGAAGCCGGCAGGCUUACAAUAAACCCCCAACCCCAAGUGGAUAUGCUGGGGGUAAAAAUGCAUUUGGACUCACUCUGGGGGGCAGUUACAGAGAAGACAGCAUCUGGGACUAGCUGUGUAGCCUUGGGCAAGUCACUUAACCUCUCCGGGCCCAUUUCUCCAGCUAUAAUAUGAGGACAAGCACACCCUUCUUACCAGGUGAAAGACUUCUAAGAGGAUCGAAGGAGACUGUAUGAGGGAAGGGGCCCACAUCCUUUUUUCCCUUCCCCUUCCUCUCAACCCAAGUUUCAACCACUCCAUUUAGUUUCCCGUGCAGCCUCCUGUCCCAGCACUCAGGCAGCUCCAUAUCCACCUGCAGAGAUGACCCCUGACUAGGGAGGGGCUGCCCAAAGGUGAUGCCCACAGGUGAUAGUCCUUCCAGCCUUGCCGUGUGCGGGCUGUAGGCUGAGCCCUGCACAUGCAUCAUCUCAUGUCACCUGCACAGUGGCAACCCUGCAUCAGCACCACACCCAUUUAAUCAGAGACAGGAAGUUUCCUAGGGACUCACAGAUAUAAGUUGUGAGACCAAGAUUCAAACUAUUAACCUAACAACUGUGGGAAGUGACCUCCGAGACGAAGCUGGCUGCCUCUACCCCGGGUCUUAGGUGAUGAUAGAAACCUAAUAGAAUGUAUACUAUAAAAUGAAAAUGCACAAAAGUAAUCCAUGGGGUUAGAAGUCAGGACAGUGCUUACUUUCUGGAGGGAGGAGGAAGGACUGGAAAAGUCGCAAGGGGGCUUCUAGGAGCUGGAGAGGUUCUGUUUCUUGAUCCAGAUGUAACACAAAUAUGUUCACUUCGCAAUUAACUCAAACUUAUGAACACUUAUGAUUGUUCAUGUCUCUAUAUGUAUGCUUAGGUAAUAGGUAGACUCAAAAAAAAGGAAGAAAAGAAAGGAAGGAAGGAAGGGAGGGAAGAAAAGAGAAGAGAAGAGAAGAAGAGAAAAGAAGAGAAAAGAAAAGAAAAGAAAAGAAAAAAGAAAACUCAUGAAGCCUGCAGGGCCAUCGGAGAAAAUACCCCAGGGGUUAAUCUGUCCUACUUGCAUGAGGCUUUAA